CGUCUAUAUACGUAUAGCAUAUCAAUAAGCGGAGGAAAAGAAACUAACUAGGAUUCCCUCAGUAACGGCGAGUGAAGCGGGAAGAGCUCAAAUUUGAAAUCUUCAAGGUUAUUACCUUGACGAAUUGUAGUUUAAAGAAGUGUUUUCUGUUGGUGAUUUUGGUAAAAGUUCUUUGGAAAUAGGACAUCAUAGAGGGUGAGAAUCCCGUAUUUGACCAUUAUUUCCAACUUUGUGAUACACUUUCAAAGAGUCGGAUUGUUUGGGAAUGCAGUCCAAAAUGGGUGGUAAAUUUCAUCUAAAGCUAAAUACUGGCGAGAGACCGAUAGCGAACAAGUACCGUGAGGGAAAGAUGAAAAGAACUUUGAAAAGAGAGUUAAACAGUACGUGAAAUUGUCAAAAGGGAAGCGUUUGACACCAGUGUUGUUUUCUCGAAAAUCAAUUAAAAAAUGGCUGGAUUUUGUGUUGUAUUGACUUUAUCAGCUUUCUGCACUCUUUUUCCUGUCUUUUUUAAUGCACUUUUCGUUUAACAAGUCAACAUCAAUUUCUUUUGUUGUAAAAGGGUCAUUGGAAGGUGGCUUUCUUUUCGGAGAAAGUGUUUAUAGCCUUUGACUUCUGCAAUCGGAGAGAUUGAGGUCUGCAGCGUAGAUCCUUCGGGGUUAGAUGCAUUUGUGCUAAGUUAUAGCCUUUCAUAGACAACUUGUUGACUAUGAUCAGUCAUGUAGCUUACUCGCUUAUGUCAUUUUACCUACGCUUAGGAUGUUGACGAUCAGCUGAGCGCG
rnacentral:rRNA from 1 species